AGUCGAACGAUGAUGCCCAGCUUGCUGGGUUGAUUAGUGGCGAACGGGUGAGUAACACGUGAGUAACCUGCCCCUGACUCUGGGAUAAGCGUUGGAAACGACGUCUAAUACUGGAUAUGAUCGCCGGCCGCAUGGUCUGGUGGUGGAAAGAUUUUUUGGUUGGGGAUGGACUCGCGGCCUAUCAGCUUGUUGGUGAGGUAAUGGCUCACCAAGGCGACGACGGGUAGCCGGCCUGAGAGGGUGACCGGCCACACUGGGACUGAGACACGGCCCAGACUCCUACGGGAGGCAGCAGUGGGGAAUAUUGCACAAUGGGCGAAAGCCUGAUGCAGCAACGCCGCGUGAGGGAUGACGGCCUUCGGGUUGUAAACCUCUUUUAGUAGGGAAGAAGCGAAAGUGACGGUACCUGCAGAAAAAGCACCGGCUAGCUACGUGCCAGCAGCCGCGGUAAUACGUAGGGUGCAAGCGUUGUCCGGAAUUAUUGGGCGUAAAGAGCUCGUAGGCGGUUUGUCGCGUCUGCUGUGAAAUCCCGAGGCUCAACCUCGGGCUUGCAGUGGGUACGGGCAGACUAGAGUGCGGUAGGGGAGAUUGGAAUUCCUGGUGUAGCGGUGGAAUGCGCAGAUAUCAGGAGGAACACCGAUGGCGAAGGCAGAUCUCUGGGCCGUAACUGACGCUGAGGAGCGAAAGCAUGGGGAGCGAACAGGAUUAGAUACCCUGGUAGUCCAUGCCGUAAACGUUGGGCGCUAGAUGUAGGGACCUUUCCACGGUUUCUGUGUCGUAGCUAACGCAUUAAGCGCCCCGCCUGGGGAGUACGGCCGCAAGGCUAAAACUCAAAGGAAUUGAC
rnacentral:rRNA from 1 species